UAAGACGAACCGUCCAAACGUUGUUCGGAAUCACUGGGCUUAAAGGGCGCGUAGGCGGCUCUGCAAGUCGGGGGUGAAAUCCCACAGCUUAACUGUGGAAGUGCCUUCGAUACUGCGGAGCUCGAGUGAGGUAGGGGCAGAGGGAACUUCCGGUGGAGCGGUGAAAUGCGUUGAUAUCGGAAGGAACGCCGGUGGCGAAAGCGCUCUGCUGGACCUCUUCUGACGCUGAGGCGCGAAAGCUAGGGGAGCAAACGGGAUUAGAUACCCCGGUAGUCCUAGCCCUAAACGAUGGGUACUAGAUUGUGGCCUUAUCAUGGGGUCACAGUCGAAGCAAAAGUUUUAAGUACCCCGCCUGGGGAGUAUGGUCGCAAGGCUG
rnacentral:rRNA from 1 species